rnacentral:ncRNA from 1 species
GUAUUUCGAUGGCAAAACUAGAGUGAUCUAGUGACGCAAAGCUAUAGGGCCUAUGCUGAACAGGGUAGGUAGCCAGUUGCUUUU